rnacentral:Y_RNA from 1 species
GGUUGGUCUGAAGGUAGUGGUGUUUACAGCUAAUUGAUCACAACCAGUUACAGAUUUCUUUGUUCCUUCUCCACUCCCACUACUUCACUUGAACAGCCAUCC